CUGAACUCAUUCCAUUUGUAACUAUCAUGGGACAACAUGGCCACAACUCAUAAUGUAUAACUGUAAGUGGGUAACAUUGUAUCAAUAACCUACUGUUCUUAAGACGUGAAUACAUAUGGGCCGUCAAGGCCUCUGACAUGCUGUACAAACUGAACCUCUAUCUACAAAGCCUCUAAGAUUAUUUGACAUCAAAUGGGACAGGGUACCGGCCUACCCAUAAGUCUGAAGCAAAACUCUAAUAUGAUGACUCAUAAAUUCGGCUACACUCAAAAUGAGGUGGAGUCUUACCAAUCAUUCGUUGAAUGCUAACCUCGUCUACUAUGGGGGCUCAUCAAAUUAAUUACUUAUACCUGCAGGCAUGAAUGCACCGUCCAAAACAAAAGGACGUCAGUACAAAUAAUGUAUCAAGUAUGUAAGGCAUGUAAAUCAAUACAUAAAGAAGAUGAAAGAAACAUGGAUUACAUGACUCAACAUGUAAGUCUAGAUAACUCUGUAUAUCAUUUAAUACUUACAGUGUCAUAGCAUGAAUAUCAUAUCGUGCAUAGGUACAUGUGUUCAUAACAUCAUCAAGCCUAUGAGGGCAUCCCGUUAUAUCAUCUCAGCCAUUGUGGGCAAAACCAUCAUCGUAUACCAGCUGAUCAGGUGGUGGUGCGUAUAUAACGCCACAACCUUUCGCAUAUCCCAUAUACAUAUACAUAUAUAUAUACAUAUACAUAUACAUAUACACACACACACACACACGCAUGUAUAAAUGCAUGAAAUUGAAAUAUGUUAAUAAGAUUUUCUCGGAAUACCAUAAAACUCAAUAGUGAAAUUGAAAUUCCUCAUCUAAACAACUAAAUGAAACAGAGAUUUAACAAGAAAAUGAAGGUUGCUUAUAUAGCACCAAUAAAUAUUAUGAAUAGCAAGGGGUAUGCAAUUGUUCUCCUUUAUCUUCUUUGUCUUCUUAGUCUUUUAAGUUAUUGAGCAGGGAAGUAUAUUUUUAUCAUUUUCCUUUGUAGAAGAUCCCGAGUAUAUGAAUUGUACAUUGGAUAUACAAAUCAGAAAUGGGGAAAAUUGGUUAACGAAAUAGGUCUAUGCGGUUGAAUUAUUCUAUUUUAUCUCAUCUAGGAGUUUACAUGAUUAGAAACAAAAGGAUCUGUUACUGAAGUUGAUAUAAUAUUCUCUGCCAUAGUAAAUGCUUAAGUUAUACAAAGAUAAGAAUCUUUUUUUUUAAGCUUUCAUGAAGGAAAUUGUAAUUCUGGUCUAUACAUUAGCAACCAUUACAUGACACAAGAAUACACAGGGAGCAACAAAGUUAUAUCAUCCCACUGAGAGUAAAAUUAUUAUAUUCUCUUGUUUUACCUUCAACAUUAAAAGUAAUCUCCUUCAUUAACAUUAAAAGACAGGUAACGGAAGAGAAGAAGUAAAGCUUACGUACUUGCCCGUUUCGUUGUAUCAUAUGGUCCAUGCUAAAAGAAAAGAAGGGAUAAUCUUAACAUACUUGGAAUAGAAAUAAAUCCGUAUAAUAUUUUUGGAAUAGUGUUCUUGAGGAGUAUGGGAUGUGUUUGUGUUUCCCUCCGGAAGAAUCUUCAAUUCAGACCAUAUUGAUAUAAAAUGCACUAGUAUAAGUAUUUGAACCCAGAAUCACGUAUAGAGGAUUCCCCAAAUUCCGAUGUAUAUGUACGCCAGCACACAAGAUAUUUUGACUAAAAUAGCUUGAUUAAAAGUAGUAGUUAUGAGUACAAAUGGAGAUAUAAACAAGCUCAAGGAGGUCUUCUUUAACAGAAAAGAGAAAGCUCAAGUAAGACACA
rnacentral:lncRNA from 1 species